ensembl:lincRNA
CCCCUGAUUGUUUUUGACAAACACCCUGAGAACAGACUGUUCACACAGAACAGGUUCUGAGAGAUCAAAUAGAGAUAAACCCUGAGAACCGAGCUUUUCCAGGAGCAGCCAGACAGGUCAAAGAGUCUUAGUUCUCUGGGGAAGGAGCUUUUGGAGCAGCUCCAAACUUGCUCUGCGCCCUCCAGUAGCUGCUAAACUGCCUGUUCUCACAGUUGCCAUGGUUACAAGAUUAUUAGUUUUCAUGGCUACUGUAGGGCUGGGGAGAAGGAAAUGGGGCAAGUUAAAAUGUCACAGAGCUCCCUGUUCUCUGCAUGAUGCAGCUGUUUUUCAGAUGACCCUUGGAUUGUUACAAAGCUUUGGUUAAUUUCCAGAAUUCUGAAAAAGUUUAUUUUUGACGACUUUUGUCAGUGUUCUUAACUGCUUUUAUAGGAGUGGAUUUUUAAAGGCGCUUACUCUCAUUUCUGAUGUGUUUCCAUUCUGUAUGUUUAAUCUGACUUUCUGCCUUGUUGAUUUUUAAGAGUUUUCUAUGUACCUUUUUGAUAGAUUCUGUAUGUAUGUCUUUAGAAAAAUAUGUGCUUUGUGACGUUCUUCUCCUAGGUUGUAACCCACCGUCUCACUCCAGGGAUCUAAUCUUGUUCUUCAGUGCUCAGGUGAAUGUUGUGUCACGUGAGGAAGAAACACAGCUUCACCCGCCAGGAUCUGUGUGUAGGCUAAGCAGAGAGAGUCGGAAGGUGGGAAUUCGUAGUCAUUUUGUGCUACGCGGUAUCACUAAGACUUCAUAUCAUGUGGUUUUUAUUCAUAUUACUGAAGGAAUAGGUGGAGACUUCAUCCAUAAACCUACCACUGACUGCUCUGUGAUCCUUUUACUGUCUGAAAAUGUCAUCAGCCCCAGCAGCGAGAAGAUACAACCAUGGAAGGAGAUCGCUUGCCUUGUGCAAUUUUCAAGCUGCAGCACACCAAGCUAUGCACAAACGGCAACAGUGUCCUCAAACGCUCCAGGACAAACUCACCCUCCCAGGUGACACUCCGUUCACUUGCAACAUUUAUUUCAAAAUAACUGCCGCACUAUUCUGAAAAAUCAUACUUGUCACUGAUUCCCUUUUUAGAUAUGCAAGACCUACCUCCUUACAGUCCUAGAGGAUCAGAAACAAGAAGGAAGAAUUGUGGGCUGCCACACAAUGCCACCAAGGACAACAUGAAGUAGGUACAAAGGUUCACCUUCUCAGACGUCACCAGAAAGGGUUUGGAACAUCCAUUCUUUGACAAGAGCUCUCGGGAGUCUUCACGUUGUAGAACACGAAGAGGCCAUCAGGAAGACUGGAAGUGGCUUCUCUUUUUGCAUAAACAUAAUCCCUGGGUUACCUAACAUGGGGAAGGGCAAGGGAAAGUGCUUUAUCUGCUCUUUGGCACCAGUUUUAGGAGGUGAUUAUGUCUUCAGUGAUAGGGUGGAUGGAGGCUUUGCUCCCAAGACUCACCUCUAAGUUCCUGUUGUGAGGGUAAUUAAUGGCUGUAACCCUGCACCUCCACUACCAUGCUCUCUUGCUUUUGAUUCCUGG